CAACCCUCGAGCCCCCGUGGCUUGGUGUUGGGGACCGGCGACCUCGCCCCGCGCCUCUGUGCGGGCGUCCGCCGCCCCCGAAAUGAAUUGGCGGUCUCGUCGCGGCCUCCUCUGCGUAGUACCACAGCCUCGCAACAGGAGCGCGACGCGGCCACUGCCGUAAAACGCCCCAACUUUUUCUCAG
rnacentral:misc_RNA from 1 species